rnacentral:piRNA from 1 species
UGAAAUACGUGUCUCAGUUUGGAAUACUGA